rnacentral:rRNA from 1 species
CUGGUUGAUCCUGCCAGUAGUCAUAUGCUUGUCUCAAAGACUAAGCCAUGCAUGUCUAAGUAUGAAUGUUAUACAGUGAAACUGCGAAUGGCUCAUUAAAACAGUUAUUGUUUAUUUGAUAAUCAAAUUUACAUGGAUAACCGUGGUAAUUCUAGAGCUAAUACAUGCUGAUAUGCCUGACUCUUAGGAAGGGCUGUAUUUAUUAGAUAACAAACCAAUAUUCCUCGUGUCUAUUGUGAUGACUCAUAAUAACUGAUCGAAUCGCAUGGACUUUGUCCGCGAUACAUCAUUCAAGUUUCUGCCCCAUCAGCUUUCGAUGGUAGUGUAUUGGACUACCAUGGCUUUAACGGGUAACGGAGGAUUAGGGUUCGAUUCCGGAGAGGGAGCCUGAGAAACGGCUACCACAUCUAAGGAAGGCAGCAGGCGCGUAAAUUACCCAAUCCUAAUUCAGGGAGGUAGUGACAAGAAAUAACGGACUGAGGCCUACGCUUCAGGAUUGCAAUGAGUAGAAUUUAAACCCCUUUGCGAGGAUCAAUUGGAGGACAAGUCUGGU